rnacentral:tRNA from 1 species
AGCAGUGCGGCUUAGUGGAAGAAGCACGGGCUUAGGAGUCAGAGGUCGUGGGUUCUAAUCCCACCUCCGCCA